UUUGUCUGUGUGAAUAUAUAUAAAUAUAUCUGAGGCCUGUGCUAAAGAAGGAAAAAUACUAUGUGUUAAUGUCAUUCUGUUUAAUACACUUAUGUCGCAACAGAAAUCUCACAAUUAAAGUCAGCAAAUUGUUGUCUGAUUAGGACAUCUAAUUUUUGAAUUCAAAUGUUUUAUAAACUUGAGAUUACUGACAUGCAUCUUGUAUUCCUUCAUACAUACCUUUGUUUACUUGUGCGUUAAAUAAAGGAAUCAGAAAAUGGAAUGCAUGAGCUUGUAUUUUGACAAGAAGGAUCUGUUUAAAUCUUCCUCAAAGUUGCAUCGCAUAAAAUUUAAACCGAAAACAAAAGAAAAAAAAAACACAUUAGCUUGACUUUUUUAAAAGGCAAUGUUCUUGUUUUAUCUUUCAGCCCAAGAACUUGCCAGUCAAGAUGAAAAACUUCUUCUAAUGGAAUCCAGCUUGAAAGCUACUCAAGAGCAGCUAACUGAGCAAAUAGCAGAAACAGUUCGCCAAGAACAGAACAGUAGAAAACCCCAGGCAGAGCUGAAGACAGUGACAGAAGGGAUUAUUGCUUCUGAAGAAGAAAAAAAUGAUUACAAAUCUUCCAUUACAACUUCAUUGCAAAAGGUGUGAAAGAAGAGGGAAAUGAAAUUGGUAAAUAUUUUGAAGCCAGACUGAAAUAUUUGGCCAAGUUUCUAGAACAGUGGAACUAUUUUAAUCAAAGAAAAUCUUACUUAUGUGGCCAAAAAAGAAAAUAACACGAAUUGUACUCUUUGAAGUAGAGUUGAUAAACUUGGAAGGUGGAUCUCCCUCCCUCUCUCCGCAAUUCCCUGCUUUGGAAAGCACUGCCCUCUCCAGAAACCAUUGGAUCUGAAGAGUAUGUAUUGGAAAACCUCCCCUGAAGACCACAUGACAAACAACCAGAAGGUUUACACUACAGAAGACUGGAAAAUCAGAUCUGUGCGGGGAGACAAUGAAGACUAUGAAAACAAUUAGAAAAUAAGAAAAAGUUUGCAAAAAAAAGUCAUAAGGAAAGAAAUUGAAAAAGAUUUGAAAGCACGGUAUUUCGUUUCUGUUAGUUUGUUAGCCAAGCAAAAUUACACACAUGACACAGGCUUCUUUCAACUUGAUGUGCCGAAUGGACGUGGUUAUGUCAUUAAACAAUGCAACAAAAGGGAAAGAAACGUCGUGUUUUGCAGAUGAAGAAGAAAAAUAUUUGUUGGCUGGAGACGCUUGCAGAGUGUCUCCGGCAGAGAUGCGCCAUUGGCGUUUGAAAACAUGAGCACUCUGACUUGCUUUCUAUAAUGAAAAAUUUACUUACAUAACUUUAUGCUUUUUGAUCACUGUUCCAACAAGGAAUUGUGUCCUUGGAGGCAUCUAAUAAUCAAAGAAUUACCUCAUUCACACGAUAGAACAAUCACUGGAAAAUAUAAUGGCUAAUUGGGAUUCUUGAAAUUAAACGUGGUGGUGGUAUUACUUGUGAAAGGAGACUAAAUGGUUCAUGAUUUUAAUUUUAAUCCUAAAGAAUGACUUUCUAAUAGUCAUAAAUGCCUUUCUUUCAAAGAGGUGAUAGACUUCCUGAAAAUGUUCAGUCUUAAUAAGGAUGCCUAUUUGGCAUGCAUGCUUGUCAAGG
rnacentral:lncRNA from 1 species